GUGAGGGGAGUGAAAUAGAACCUGAAACCGUGUACGUACAAGCAGUAGGAGCAGGCUUUGUCCUGUGACUGCGUACCUUUUGUAUAAUGGGUCAGCGACUUAUAUUCAGUGGCAAGGUUAACCAUCUAGGGGAGCCGUAGGGAAACCGAGUCUUAACUGGGCGUUCAGUCUCUGGAUAUAGACCCGAAACCAGGUGAUCUAGCCAUGGGCAGGUUGAAGGUUGAGUAACAUCAACUGGAGGACCGAACCGACUAAUGUUGAAAAAUUAGCGGAUGACUUGUGGCUAGGGGUGAAAGGCCAAUCAAACCUGGAGAUAGCUGGUUCUCCCCGAAAGCUAUUUAGGUAGCGCCUCGGACGAAUACUACUGGGGGUAGAGCACUGUUAAGGCUAGGGGGUCAUCCCGACUUACCAACCCUUUGCAAACUCCGAAUACCAG
rnacentral:rRNA from 1 species